CUAAAAUAUAUAUUGAACAAUGGGCUGUGAAGUGUACAACGUUAAAUGCAUCUCAGUGUAGAUUAUGAUCUUAUCUGAAGUAUAUAAGUAGAAUGAAUUUUGGGAUACUUUUUGGGGUAGUCCUUUGCUGCUACUUGAGGACAACUAAGUAUUAUUAUCACUAUAUAGACAAAACUCAAUUAACUCUGAUGUAAGGAAUGCAUUUGGCAGAACAUAAAUGCUUCAGUCAUUUUUACCUCUUAUUUUGCAAUUAAUCACAGCUUCGUGAUAUCUCCUUUAUUGUACUUUCUUUUAUUUACUUUAUUGUGCUUCCCAGGCAUAUUUCUAAGCUCAUUAAAAGCAGAGGCUAAUCUAGUUGAGUUCCUUACAAAAGACAGGGGCUGUCUGGUAAUUCAUUUUGUCAUUUAUUAACUUAUCAAAGUGAUAUUGUUAUGCACUCAGUUAAUGCUACUGAAAAAGAUGAAAAAGCAUGGUUCUUGUCUACCAGGCAUACUUCUUUCAAUAUCUUAUCAACUCUUUCCUUGAAUCUGAUGGGAAUUCCAGGAGCUUCAUUUGCUCAGAGCAUAAUGCAGGAACCCUGCGACUGACUCUCCCCAGGACCUGUGUAAGUUGGAAAGCCUUUGGUAGCAAAGUGGAGGACGUGUGGUUGGCUUUUAAUCUAUUUCCCCGACUUGGCAAAUGUUUUCCUUCACACCCAUGCUUGCUGGACCGGCUUCAUCUCCAUAGUUAAGGUGAGACGGGGGAAAGGUGAAUUGUGGGUAAUGGAACAGUCUUACUUGAAGGGCAGUACCACAACUUGGCCUUGGUAUUGUCUAGUCUGAAUGGCGAAGUAUCUAUGUGAAGAGUCUCUCCAUGUUGUUCUGGUUUCUGUUUUUCCUUCUCCUUUAAAUCUCCUGAAUUCCUUUCAGGUGGAGAAGAUGGGCGGUCUGACUCACCGCAACCUAGCAGAUAAAGAGGAUACAACGCAGAGCCCAGGUGGUCAAAAGAGUAAAAUGACCUUGCUCAAUUCUCUUUUCAGGCAGCGACCUACUUGCUCCAAUAACUCUAAAUCUAAGGUUCCUCGAUCCUAAGGAAACCAAUGGCAUUCCUCCCGAAUUAAGAGUAUAAGCUUGUGUAGAGCUCCAGGCUCUACAGUGCGCUGGAUGGCCUUAAGAAGCUGCUGCACUGUUUUAAAAAAUGCUUUCUGCUCUUUGGUCAUUUCUUGACCCAUGAUAACCUAACCCCUGAUAUUUUACGUUUGCCUACUGUCCUCCUGAUGGGAGUCGGGACUGUCUCUUACCGGGAUUCCCUCGAAAAUUGAUGAGCUCUCCUCCUUUACGUGGAAAUUCAAGGCUGUCACGUCGGGGGCACCAGUUACAGAGCUUAUAGCUUGCAGUGAACGCCAAGAAUGAAGUACUCAGACAAUUCCAGCCGAGCGGUGCCACGGGGUAGCUCUUCUGAGAGAGUCUGCCCCAGCAUUUGUCCGCCAAUUAUUCACUGGAAGGACUUGUAGUAACUACAAAUUUCCACCAGAUGGCUACUUGGGUGGCUUGUUGAGGCAACUGUACCGUGUACACACUCAAUCCGCAUUCUCAGGAGGCUGUUUCCAGCAUUCUUUAUGACACCGCACACUCCACUCCCUGUCUUGUUUUCAGGGUCAAGGAGUUUCAUUCUCAUGCACAGAUAACACAAAUAAUACACAAGUAUUUUUCCUCAAAUACAAGUAUUUUUCCUUGUACAUAAGCUUGAAUGUGUUGCCAGGUGCCCCACUACACCCAUCUCUACUAAAAAUACAAAAAAAUUAGCUGGGCAUGGUGGCACAUGCCUGUAAUGCCAGCUACUCAGGAGGCUGAGGCAGGAGAAUUGUUUGAACCCAGGAGUCGGAGGUUGCAGUGAGCCGAGAUCGCGCUCUGCACUCCAGCCUGGGUAACAGAAUGAGACUCCAUCUAAAACAAACAAACGAACAUUUUACUUUUAAAAUCAUGAUUUUCACUAUCCAAUUAAAACCACCUAUUAGAGAGAAGAUAUUAAAUGAGCCAAGAUGUGUAAUUGAUGAUCAUCAAAUGUGUAUUGGUGAUUAUCUUUUCAAUUUUGAUUUUCUAAUAAUUCAGUUCUAUAGAAGUGUUUUAAUCCCUUAAAGUAUAUCUUGAUUUCCUAAUGUGUCUUAGUGUAAGUUAAGCAAUUCAUUUAGCAGACAUUUAUUAAGUCCUUAAAAUAUACUGUGCUUGUUCCAGAGACACAGCUGGAAUUGUCUGAAUAUUUCAUUCUUGGCGUUCAGUGCAAGCUAUAAGCUCUGCAACUGGUGCCCGCGACGUGCUACAUUACACUAAUGUAAUGAGAGAGAGCUACACUAACAAAUAAAUUAUAAGGCUAUAGAAAGUAUGUACAAGUUUCAAAUGCACUGGAGGCAUAUAUGUCUUUGACUCAGCAAUUCCGCUUUCAUGUAUUUAUAGCAAGGAAAUUAUUUGGGAAAUGAAGUAAUAUUUAGCAAUAAUAGUUUUGACUGAUAUAUAUUAAAGAAUUGAAAUAGAACCUCCUACUUGGAUAUACAUGCAAGAUAAUCCUAGCCUUUAAAAAUGAUGUAUGAUUAUGUCUUGGUCUGGAAGGAAGUUUGCUUCUCAGAGUUAGUUAUGACUUUUCCUAACAGCUGGCUGUAUUCACAUGAUGGAUUUUGAAUUAGUAAUAUGUUUAAGAGUAUGAAUGUCAUACAGAUAGUUAAAAAUCAUUUUCUCUAUACAUAGUUGCCUCACACAUUUCAAGUGUGAUCAGCUACUAAGUUGAUUUUACGGUGUCAUUUAGAUUGUCUACAACACAACAUACUAAAAUCUGUAGGAUGCAGCAAAAGCAGUGUUAAAAGUUUAUAAUGUUAAAUGGCUACCUCAAAAAGUUAGAAAGAUCUCAAAUUAGCAAUCUAACACACUUAGCAGAACUAGAAAAACAAGAACUAACCACAAAGCUAAAAGAAGAAAAGACAUCUAAAAGCAGAGCAGAAUUGAAUAAAAUUGAGACCCUAAAAUACAUAUACAGAAUCAAGUAAACUAAAAAUUGAUUUUUUUUAAAAAGGAUAAACAAGAUUCAUAGACUGCUAUCUACAUUAACAAGGAAAAAGAGAGAGAUGAUCCAAAUCAGCACAAUCAGAAGCAAAAAAGGCAGCAUUAGAAAUGAUUCCACAGACACGCAGAAGAUCCUCAGAGGCUUUUAUGAACACCUCUAUUCACACAAACUAGAAAAUCUAGAGGAAAUGAAUAAAUUCCUGGAAACGCACAACUUUCCAAGACUGAGUCAGGACAAAAAAUGGAAACCCUGAACAGACCAAUAUUGAGUUCAAAAAUGGAAUCAGUAAUAAAAAAUUAACAAGCAAAAAAAAGCUCUGGACCAGAUGGACUCACAGUCAAAUUCUACCUGAUGUACAAAGAACAGCUGGUACCAACGCUACUGAAAUUAUUCCAAAAAAACUGAGGAAGAGAAACUUCCCCAACUCAGCCUACAAAGUCAGCAUCUCCCUGAUACCAAAACCCAGCAAAGACAUGAAAAAAGAAAACUACAAGCCAAUAACCCUGAUGAACAUAAAUGCAGAAAUCCUCAACAAAAUCGUAACAAACAAUAUCUAUCAGCACAUCAAAAAAGUUAAUUCACCAUGAUAAAGUAGGUUUCAUUCUUGGGAUGCAAGAUUAGUUCAACAUCAGCAAAUCAAUAAAUGUAAUUCACCACAUAAACAGAAUUAAAAACAAAAACCAUAUGAUCACCUUAAUAGAUACAGAAAAAACUUUUGAUAAAAUCUAAUUUCCCUUCGUGAUAAAAUUCCUCCACAAACUAGGCAUUGAAGGAACAACUCCUGGGUCUCCAACUGACUUAGGGCAUUCCCGGAUCAGUGCCCUCUGGAGUUGUGCAAAUUAUAGCCCUGCUUGCAUAUAGAAAUCGUCCCCCUCAAACAGUACCUCUGAAUGUGACUUUAUUUGGAAACAGGGUUGAUGCAGAUGUAGUUAGUUAAGAUGAUGUCAUAUGGGAGCAGGGUGGGCCCCAAUCCAACAUGACUCAUGCCCUUAUAAAAAGGGGAAAUUUAGACACAGAUAUGCACACAGGGAGAAUGCCAUGUGAAAAUGAAGGCAGAUUUGGGUGACACAGUAACAACUAAGCGUGAUGGUUAAUUCUUUGUCAACUGGACUGGGCCGGGGGUGCCCAGAUAUUUGAGUGAACAUUAUUCUGAGUUUAACUGUGAAGAUGUUUUUGGAUGAGAUUAACAUUUGAAUUGGUAGACUGAGUAAUGCAGAUUGCCCUCCCUAAGGCCGGUGGGCUUCAUCCAAUCAGCUGAAGGCUUGAUCAGAGCAAAAAGGCUGACCUUCCUCUAUUAAGAGUGAACUUCUGACUGACUGCUGACCUGGCACAUUAGUCUUUUCUGGCCUUUAGAUUCAGACUGAAGCAUUGGCUCCUCUUGAGUCUUGAGUCUGCUGGCUCCUGGACUGAGUCUCCAACUUGCUGACUGUGCAUCUGGGAACUACUCAGCUUCCUUAAUGGUGUCAGCCAAUACCUUGUAAUCUCUCUCUCUCUCUCUCUCUCUCUCACACACACACAUCCUAUUGGUCCUGUUUCUCUGGAGAACCCUGAGUAAUACAUUAAAGAAUGCCCAAUAUUUCCAAAAAAACACCAGAAGCUCGGAAAGAGACUCCCUCAUAGGCCCCAGAAGGAACCAAUCUGCCAGCACCUUGAUCUAGAACUUCUGGCUUCCAGAAUUGUCAAAAAAGAAAUGUUUACUGUCUAAGCCACUCUAUCUGUGGUACUUUGUUAUAGUAGCUCCAGGAAACUAAUGUACCUCCUGAAACGGAAAAUUUCAGAAGAUAAUUUUGAAAGCAGCCUGAGAUUUUCUUCUUGUAAGAUUUUUCCAGUUGAGAAUUGCAGAAAUAACAACAAACCAUAUGUUAGCGCUCUGCUCUCUUUCUUCCAUAUUGGUUGCUUUUGUUAAUGGCUUUUAUUUGUGUAUAGUUUUUCUUUUGUAUUAUGCUUUACCUCACCGUACCAGUCCCCUUUUUUCCUGCACUAUCUAUUCUGAUUCUUGAUUGAUGCUAAUGUGGUUU
ensembl:lncRNA